rnacentral:misc_RNA from 1 species
GAUGAAGAACGUAGUAAACGUGCGAAACGUAAUGUGAAUUGCAGAAUUCAGUGAAUCAUCGAAUCUUUGAACGCAUCUUGCGCUCCUUGGUAUUCCGAGGAGCAUGCCUGUUUGAGUGUCGUGAAUACUCUCAACUUCAACCCUUUUUUCGGAAAGGGAGGAAGGUUGGACUUGGGUGUUUGUUGAAGUGCGAGCUUCGACUCAUCCUAAAUGCAUUAGCGAUCUGCCUCGAUCACACACAAUGUGAUAAUUAAAACUAAAGCAUUGUUUAAUGAUCAAGUCGAGACUGCUUCUAACUGUCGCAAGACAAUAACGUGCAUACAUUUGUGCAUGUCAUUUGACCUCAAAUCAGGUAGGACUACCCGCUGAACUUAAGCAUAUCAAUAAGCGGAGGA